UACGUAGGGCGCAAGCGUUGUCCGGAAUUAUUGGGCGUAAAGAGCUCGUAGGUGGCGUGUCGCGUCUGCCGUGAAAGCCCAUGCUUAACUCCGGCCGUGCAGUGGGUACGGGCAGACUAGAGUGCGGUAGGGGAGACUGGAAUUCCUGGUGUAGCGGUGAAAUGCGCAGAGUAAUCAGGAGGAACACCGGUGGCGAAGGCGGGUCUCUGGGCCGUAACUGACGCUGAGGAGCGAAAGCGUGGGGAGCGAACAGG
rnacentral:rRNA from 1 species